ensembl:lncRNA
AGAGGGGGAGGCUGUGUUGAGGGACAUUUUCAGAAACACUCUCCAAUAACAUUGGUCGGUCUGUCUGUCUCUCUCUCCCAGCCUGUUUGUCUGUCUGUCUGUCUCUCUCUGCCUGUCUCCCAGCCUGUCUGUCUCUGUCUGACCACCAGGUGGGGGUCUCCAGGGAGCUGUAACGUCACACCCCCAGACACUCUUGGGUAGCUACAUCUGGUGACAACUGUUGGCCUGACACUGGUUGAUGUGCUGAAUACUCAUUUGUUUGGUUGAUUGGCUGUUUGUGUUGAUGUGGUGUUUCUAAAGCAUCCCAUUUCUGAAAGUGGAUAUGGCCCAUUUCUGUAAAAAUAACUAACUACAUCCCCUGUGUAUGUUCAUCAAUGAUAAUGAAAGAGCCCAAAGAGUUGUGUAACAUCUCCAGCUGUCAGCGUAAUCUGGACCAGAGGAACUGCAGUCAGAGUUGAAAGAGACCAGAGCUACUUUGAGUGAAGAACUAGAAUACCAUGGAGUUCAGACCAUCUAAAACCAAUCAACACAUCCUUUAGUGCUUCUGACUGGCUUCAUUACCCUGCAGUUGUGUUGCAUUUCCCUGAACAACAGCUUCUUUGAAAGGCAACAAGUAAUCUUGGAUUAAACUUCAUUGAGUGGAAACAGGCCUGUUUCAGACCGUCAGAGGAGGGGGAGGUGAGCGGGGGAGGAGCGACGCUGGGGGCUGAGGCUAGCCGCUUCUCACUCGCUGUUUGACCUUCAGAUGAUGACAUGGCCUGGAGUGGAGGGAGGGUGACAAAAGUUGGGAGGGAGUGGAACAGGUUCUUAAAGCAACAUGAGUCCUAUUCAAGACACAAGCCUCAAGUCUUAGCCUUCAAGCCUUGAGUCAAGUCCCAAAUAACGAUGAUCAAGUCUCAAGUCAAGUCCCAAGUUUCACAGCUCAGUUCAAGUCAAGACAAGUCAAGUCCCACAUUUUUGCUUUCAAGUCUUGAAGUCAAUGGUUAAGAAAAGUUUUGUUAUAUGAUGUGGAUGAUGAAAUAUUUUUUGUUGUUGAAUUUUCCAUUAGCUAAAAGGAAACAAAUAUUAUUCAGUAGGUUGCCUUUAUGUAUUUAUGUUGUCAACUGUCUUUAUGUAUUUAGUUAAAAUAUAUGUUUUAAUAGUAAGCCUAUUUAAGGAUGUUAAAAACAAAAAAAAAAUGCUGUCCAUGUUGAAAUAAAAUUAUAGUGAGAGCCAUUGCAUGCUAAUACAUUUGAGAAUUUUACCAGAAAUACUUAGCUAAAGAAAUGAGGAGAUACCAUGGGAAUCUCUUUGGUAAAUGGGAAUUGAGGAACAUACUGUAUAACCCUCCAUGAAUCAAACUGUUGUUGCUAAACUAAUCACCAGGAAAAUCCUUGAAUACAAUCUAGCUAGCAUUUUAGCACACCCCUGCCAUAAUGUUUUUCUUACCUAUCUUUGUGGGAUCUCAGGAGUCUCAUGAAGUUAGAUGUUGUCACUCAUCAAACAUUUAAGUGUUUCAUGUUUUGCACACUGCUGUCAUUUUCCUGCACACCUCGAAAAAGAUGCCAUGAAAGCAAGUUCUCAAUCCCUUCCGAAUUGGCGACCUGAAGCUGACAGCUGAACGCUAGGUCUAGGUUGAGUGACAUUGAGAAAAGUGAUACUAGAGUGAAGUAUUGUUGUGUUGUCCCGCCCACCCUCAGUUGAGAACAGUAAACACAAGGACUUUGAGUGUAGAGUGUUGAGAGCUGAGAGAUGAGAGAGGAUUGAGGAUUGAGGAUUGAGAGGAAGGUGCUGGGAAAAUCUCUCUCGAGUCAAACAGCUGAACAAAAAUUAUUGUGGGUUAUAAGGAAGGGUAGUACUGGGCUAGAGGUUACAGUGAGGUUAGAACAGGGAUAGUGGUUAAGGCAAGGUUAGUACUGGGCUAGGGGUUAAGGUGAAGUUAGUACUGAGCUAGGGGUUAAGGCAAGGUUAGUACUGGGCUAGGGGUUAAGGUGAAGUUAGUACUGGGCUAGGGGUUAAGGCAAGGUUAGUACUGGGCUAGGGGUUAAGGUGAAGUUAGUACUGGGCUAGGGGUUAAGGUGAAGUUAGUACUGGGCUAAGGGGUUAAGGUGAAGUUAGUACUGGGCUAGGGGUUAAGGUGAAGUUAGUACUGGGCUAGGGGUUAAGGUGAAGUUAGUACUGGGCUAGGCGUUAAGGGGAAAGAAGUACUGAGACCGGUGAUCAAGGGGGAUUUAAUUUCUGGAUGUAGGAUUUUGGAGUUCUGUAACAGCAACUAAAUUCACCUGGAAUAAUUAGCUGUGCUAUUUACACACGCUUACACUACAGCUUGUGAUAAUUAAUUCACCUCAACACUGCUAAAGCUUUAGUGACGGGCCUUGCUCAGUCUCUAGAGGCUGAUUGUGACCUCUGAGCCAAUCAGUAAAGAGGCGAAGAUAAUGCAGCAAAAGUCAAUAAUGGAGGGGCACUUUAUAUUUCUUGUACACAUUGUUCCCUGCUGAAUUGGAAUGACUAGCAAUGGAAGAAGGUGGCCUGGUCUGAUGAAUCAUGUUUUCUUUUACAUCACAUGGCCGGGUGCUUGUGUCGCUUACCUGGAGAACACAUGACACCAGGAUGCACUAUGGGAAGAAGACAAGCCAGUGGAGGCAGUCUGAUGCUUUGGGCAAUGUUCUGCUAGGAAACCUUGGGUCUGGGCAUUCAUGUGGAUGUGCUGUAGGAUGUGUUGGACAAACAUGUCAGAUUCAUGGAGGUCCCACCUCACAACUUACAGGACCUAAAGAAUCUGCUGCUAACGUCCUGAUGCUUUUAGACCUCAAUAAUAUUAUGCAGGUGGUCAUGAUGUUAUGGCUGACUGGUGUGUGUGCAGGUCCUUUAGACCUCAGUAAUAUUAUGCAGGUGGUCAUGAUGUUAUGGCUGACUGGUGUGUGUGCAGGUCCUUUAGACCUCAGUAAUAUUAUGCAGGUGGUCAUGAUGUUAUGACUGACUGGUGUGUGUGCAGGUCCUUUAGACCUCAGUAAUAUUAUGCAGGUGGUCAUGAUGUUAUGGCUGACUGGUGUGUGUGCAG